rnacentral:rRNA from 1 species
GACGAACGCUGGCGGCACGCUUAACACAUGCAAGUCGAACGAGAGAAGAGAAGCUUGCUUUUCUGAUCUAGUGGCGGACGGGUGAGUAACACGUGAGCAAUCUGCCUUUCAGAGGGGGAUACCGAUUGGAAACGAUCGUUAAUACCGCAUAACAUAAUUGAACCGCAUGAUUUGAUUAUCAAAGAUUUAUCGCUGAAAGAUGAGCUCGCGUCUGAUUAGCUAGUUGGUAAGGUAACGGCUUACCAAGGCGACGAUCAGUAGCCGGACUGAGAGGUUGAUCGGCCACAUUGGGACUGAGACACGGCCCAGACUCCUACGGGAGGCAGCAGUGGGGAAUAUUGCACAAUGGAGGAAACUCUGAUGCAGCGAUGCCGCGUGAGGGAAGAAGGUUUUAGGAUUGUAAACCUCUGUCUUCAGGGACGAAAAAAGACGGUACCUGAGGAGGAAGCUCCGGCUAACUACGUGCCAGCAGCCGCGGUAAUACGUAGGGAGCGAGCGUUGUCCGGAAUUACUGGGUGUAAAGGGAGCGUAGGCGGGAUCGCAAGUCAGAUGUGAAAACUAUGGGCUUAACCCAUAAACUGCAUUUGAAACUGUGGUUCUUGAGUGAAGUAGAGGUAAGCGGAAUUCCUAGUGUAGCGGUGAAAUGCGUAGAUAUUAGGAGGAACAUCAGUGGCGAAGGCGGCUUACUGGGCUUUAACUGACGCUGAGGCUCGAAAGCGUGGGGAGCAAACAGGAUUAGAUACCCUGGUAGUCCACGCCGUAAACGAUGAUUACUAGGUGUGGGGGGAGUGACCCCUUCCGUGCCGCAGCAAACGCAAUAAGUAAUCCACCUGGGGUGUACGACCGCAAGGUUGAAACUCAAAGGAAUUGACGGGGGCCCGCACAAGCAGUGGAGUAUGUGGAUUAAUUUGAAGCAACGCGAAGAACCUUACCAGGUCUUGACAUCGUAUGCAUAGCUCAGAGAUGAGUGAAAUCUCUUCGGAGACAUAUAGACAGGUGGUGCAUGGUUGUCGUCAGCUCGUGUCGUGAGAUGUUGGGUUAAGUCCCGCAACGAGCGCAACCCUUACUGUUAGUUGCUACGCAAGAGCACUCUAGCAGGACUGCCGUUGACAAAACGGAGGAAGGUGGGGAGGACGUCAAAUCAUCAUGCCCCUUAUGACCUGGGCCUCACACGUACUACAAUGGCUGUCAACAGAGGGAAGCAAAGCCGCGAGGUGGAGCAAACCCCUAAAAGCAGUCUUAGUUCGGAUUGUAGGCUGCAACCCGCCUACAUGAAGUCGGAAUUGCUAGUAAUCGCAGAUCAGCAUGCUGCGGUGAAUAAGUUCCCGGGCCUUGCAC